GUAGCUGGUCUGAGAGGAUGAUCAGCCACACUGGGACUGAGACACGGCCCAGACUCCUACGGGAGGCAGCAGUGGGGAAUAUUGCACAAUGGGCGAAAGCCUGAUGCAGCAACGCCGCGUGCGGGAAGAAGGCCUUAGGGUUGUAAACCGCUUUCAGCAGGGAAGAAACUGACGGUACCUGCAGAAGAAGGUGCGGCCAACUACGUGCCAGCAGCCGCGGUGACACGUAGGCACCAAGCGUUGUCCGGAUUUAUUGGGCGUAAAGAGCUCGUAGGCGGUUCAGUAAGUCGGGUGUGAAAACUCUGGGCUCAACCCAGAGACGCCACCCGAUACUGCUGUGACUUGAGUACGGUAGGGGAGUGGGGAAUUCCUGGUGUAGCGGUGAAAUGCGCAGAUAUCAGGAGGAACACCAGUGGCGAAGGCGCCACUCUGGGCCGUAACUGACGCUGAGGAGCGAAAGCGUGGGUAGCAAACAGGAUUAGAUACCCUGGUAGUCCACGCCGUAAACGUUGGGCACUAGGUGUGGGUCUCAACCAACGAGAUCCGCGCCGUCGCUAACGCAUUAAGUGCCCCGCCUGGGGAGUACGGUCGCAAGACUAAAACUCAAAGG
rnacentral:rRNA from 1 species